CACCAGGUGGGGCUAGGGGCCAGGAGGGAUGGAGUGCCACUCAGUGAGACCACCUUGGCUGGCCUCUGCCCCAGCCAAGCUCCUUCCCUGUCCAUCUCUGCAGUCUCCCUCUAGUGGUCCUGGGCCUCUGAGCUGGUGGAGGCUGCUGGGAGCUGGUUCUCUCUGCAUUCUCCUUGCUGUGGAAGGGCUGGGGCAGGCUGGAGAGCCGGAGGGACUGGACAGGGACAGGCACCCCGGCUAAAGGCUGCUCACGAGUGCCUGCUGCCUGGCAGGCUGGCAGCCCUGGCUGAGGCAGUGUCUGAGGCUCCGGAGGUCCAUAGCUGGGGCAGGACUCUUGCUGCCUGGCCUUGCCCUGCCUGGCCUUCCUGUGCCUGUCCUGGGCCCUCUUCUCCCCCAGGCUUCAUCUUCCUACACCCGACCGCGUCCCUCUCUCCAAGUGUCAACCCCAAUCCACAGUCAGUCCAUGGGACUGCUCCCAGUUUGUCCCCCAGAGGACGGGGCUCAGGCGCGUCCACACGGUCUCCUGGUGUGCAGGAGUGGGAGUGGGCUCAUCUGAAGGGCCCCUCUGGGCAUGGGGGGCCCACUCACUGUUCAUUCUUUCACUCACUCCCCAAGCACAUGGGGCUUGCCUCCUGGUGCCCCUACGUGCCACCCACUGGACAGGAUAGCAGGAUGCCCACCCCUGGGGAGCCAUACCUCCGUGGGUAGGGGCCCUGUGCAGGGAAGACCAGGUGGUGCCGAGCCAAGAGGGACACAGGGUGUCUGAUAGCUGGGCCCCCAGCUCAGGGUCUGUGACUGUCCACGUCAGCUCUGCAAGCCCAGGCCUGUCUCCUUAGGGCCGGAGCACCCACUCCAGGGCCAGUGUAGCAAAAGGGACAGUGUCUGCACUGCCCAGUCCAGGGAGGUGCCACUCGCCCCAGCCUGGCGCCUCUGAGACAAGUGCAGACUGCUGGCUGCCAGCAGGCCGGAGCUGCCCACUUCCCUCCCCCAUGCCCUCCCCACUGCACACUCCUCCUCUGUCCCCUCCUCCCUCCUCCCCCUGUCCACUUUUCCCCUGCGGCCCUCUCCCUCACCGCCCCCUCCCCAACUCCUUUCUCUUUCUAGAAAAAGCCCAGCCUCCGCAUCUGGCCUGUGGCAGUCCCCAUGAGGUGUGGCUGGGAGGUGCUUCACACUGGAGGAGGGACGGGGUGGCAGCAGAAGAGCCUCCCUCCCCAUCUCCCAGGGCCUGCUCUCCAGGCCCACUCCUCCUGCCCUCGUGCUGGAUCUUCCACCUAGACACUUCCUGUCCACCCCCAAGACGGUGCCAGGGGGCAGGACGGCCAAGUCCCAAAUGCUGGCCCUGCUCCUUAUUAGGGGACCAUGGGCAAGCUGGCCUCCACCUUGGGUCUUGGUCUCUCCUCUGUAGACAGGGCUGCCUCCAUGUUGGACAGCAUGCUGGGGACUUCUCAGAGGACACAAGGGGUGGGUGGGAGCUGGGAUGACUGGGAGGGGUAAGGAGAGCCCACUUGGGAGUAGGGUGCAGCGCUACAAAGUUCAGCAUAUGCAAAGGCCCAGAGGUGGGAGCCAGGAGGCAGGGCCCCUGUGGGCCUGGACUCCUGGACAGCCCCUGCCCAUGUCCCCAUCCUCUUUUAGAUGCAUGUGAGGGAACUGUCUGGCCUUGGGGUGGGAUGUGGAAGGAGAGGGCUAGGCUCCUACGGCAUCUCCUCUCGGCCAGCCCAGACAGGCAGACCGCAGGCAGGACACGGUGAGGACGAUGGUGGGACUUCCUGCAGAGCUGGGCCUACCCACACUGCCAGGGGCAUGAUGGGGACCCACAGACCCGAAUGCUGGUGAUGAUGGUUGCCACACUAGGAUCCAUCCUUGUGACAGUCACGACGCUGGACCUGCUGAGGUGACAGUAGUGGUGAUGAUGAGCUCAUGUGAUGUUACUCAUGGUGGAGGUGAUGUGCUGACCACGGGGGAACAGGUGGUAAUUGUGUCCUUGGGAGGGACAGUCAUGGUGGUGGCAGUGGUAAUGAUUGUGCUGCAGAUGCUAUGGGAGGUAGUGACGGUCACAGUGCUGGUGACUCUUGUAUGAGUUGGUGGUGAUGGUGGGGACGGCAUUGCUUCUGAUGACAUGAUGAUGCUGCCGUGGUGUGGGCGGUGCGAUGGUGGGGGGCAGGGAGGGUUGUUGGUGUGACGGUGGUGGUGGCACGCUGCUGCCGUUGGCCUGCUGCUGAUGUGUGGUGGUGGUGAUGAUGAUGGUGCUGUCAAUGUGAUGACGCUGUUGUCACCAACAGUGGUGGUGGUGUUGGUAGUGGUGACACAGUGGUAACGACUGGUAUUGGUGAUGUUGGUGAGUUGCUAGUGGUGGUGACUGUGGAGUAAUGAUGUUAUUUAUGAUGGGUUACCAUUGAUGAUGGUGUAGUUAUUGAUGGUGAUAGUGAAGGAGAUAGUGUUAUUUAUUUGUGUUAAUUUUGAAGAUGCCUUUGGUAGUGGUGAUGGUGGUAAUAAUGGUGGUGUUGUUGAUAAUGUAAUGGUGUGAUGGUGGUGACAAUGGUGACACUAUUGUUAAUACUAUGAUGGUGAUGAUGUUGAUGGUGGCAGUGGUGGUGGAGGUGUUGAUAAUGUGAUGGUGGUAGUGAUGGUGGUGGUGGUGAUGAUGGUGGUGGAGGUAUUGGUAACAUAGUGGUGGUGGUGGUGAUGAUGGUGGAGGUGUUGAUAAUGUGAUGGUGGUGGUGAUGGUGGUGGUGUUGAUGGUGGUGGAGGUGUUGAUAAUGUGAUGGUGGUGGUGAUGGUGGUGGAGGUGUUGAUAAUGUGAUGGUGGUGGUGAUGGCGGUGGAGGUAUUGGUAAUGUGAUGGUGGUGGUGAUGUGGUGGUGGCGAUGACAGAGGUGUUGACGUCAUAGGGGUGGUGGUGAGAGUGGUGGUAGUAAUUGCACUGUUGACGUCAUUGUUGAUGUAUCUGGUAGUGGUUUCAGUGGUGGCUGUGAGAGUAGAAAUUGGAACACAGAUGUCGGAGGUAGGCUCAGUCCAGGGGAGCUUGCGGCUGCACACCCCCGUGCAAAGCAGGACACACCCAUGGCACAGCUAAUGAGUCAAAUUGCAGCAGACAUGUCCACGUGGGCCGGGCCGGUGGCAGAGUCAGUGGACAGCAGAGGAAGCGCUCCGGCACGCUGCGGUCUGGGAGGGCACCCUGGAGGAGGCAAGGUGGGCUACUGGUGAAGACGGGCUGCAGCCAGGGGUGUCCUGUGGGGGUGCCCCACGUCCCGUGCUCUGGCACAGGCCAGGCCAGGACGUACUUGCUGAGUGAGUCAACGUACCCCUUGACCUUCCAGCUGGGGACUAGGGGCCGAAGCAUGAUGGGGUGUGGCUGUCUGGUCACUGGCCCUGCCAGCAGGGGCAGGUGACAAGCAGGUAGAACGGAUGGGACCAGGGCAGCAAGUGCGAGUCGGAGUGAGGCGGGGCCAGACGGGCUGGAGACCCAGCAGGGGAGUGGGGUGGCAGGACCCAGCUCCCUGGUGCAGACUGCGCUCUUUCUGGGCCGGGAAGCCCAGUGCCCAGGCUUUUCCACAGCCCUGCUCUGCCUGGCCCCCUGGCCUGGGCUCUGCGCCCUGCCCGGGUGGGUGGGUCAGGAGCAGAGCCACUGGACCCAGUGUGGAGGGGUUCCAGCCCCGGGACAGGUCUGACUCACAGCAGCUGGCGCCUGGCAGGAAUUGGGAGAUCGGCAUCUGGCAUGGUGGGGACGUGAGAAGCCCUGGAGGCCUGGUCACAGUCUGUGGUGCUGGGAGAAGUCCAGAUACAGCCAGCACUGGGAAAGGCCCUGAGCACCAGGUCCAUGGAAGGGCAUGAGGCCCGAGGACGCGUGAGUCUCACCUGGCAGCCACACUGGAAGCCACCCAGGUCCCACAGGGGUCCAGACCUCAGGGUUAGAGGUCACUGGCAAAGGUCUCCUUAGGACCAGGCCUUGAGCCAGAGGGGAGGGGGCUGGGCGUGGUGUGGGAGGGCUCCUGCAGGAGGCGGGGGGAGGGGGCGGCUGCACACAGAGGCCCUGAGGCCCAGACUGACCAGGCCUGGAGGCGGGAGAGAGCCCAGGCAGGCCAGCCACCCCAGCUCGUUCUGGGCAUGCCUGGGCACACCGGGCCUCCAGUGGGCUGGCCUGUCCAAGCAAGGUUCAGGACCGAGGGGGCCAAACGCAGCAGGG
rnacentral:lncRNA from 1 species